rnacentral:tRNA from 1 species
GAAAUUUUAGUAAAACAAUUAUAUAACUUUGUCAAAGUUAAAUUACAGGUUUAAAUCCUGUAAAUUUCU